GGGGGCGACCUGGUUUCGACGUGGGUUGCAAAGCAGAACAGGGCAUACCGAGGACUGGUUACCUCGUAAAUACAUCCAGAAAUCAAUAACUGCAAACGAUAACUCGUACGCACUCGCAGCCUAAUCGCUGCUAGCUCUACACCACCUCGCCUCUGGGGUGUGCCGCAAGGCAAGUAGAGUCAUUUACAGAGGCUAGGACUCAACCGGGUUACCUGGUUGCUUCCGAAAUUUUAGGUAACUCGCUUGGUUGCAGGGUGCACGUCCCCGUCAGCCAAGUUAAAUUAAAAGACAGUGCUAAGUAUGUAGAACUGUCUGUAGAGUGCUUGCGGACGAGGGUUCGAUUCCCUCCGCCUCCACCA
rfam:Massilia sp. JS1662 GAT26, whole genome shotgun sequence.